AUGGUUUCAUGUCACUUAUUGUUGGGUAAGCCAUGGUACAAAGAGCACGAUGUUGCCUACGAUUCUCAAACACACAUAUAUACCGUUAAGAAGGGUAAGAACUACGACCUUGUGCCCAUGGGCCAGGAUCGUUUUAUUUCUUGGAGGAAAGAACAUCUUGAGAAGAUAAAAGAGCAGGAAAAAGCAAAGAAAAGGGAGGCCAAAGUUGCUGAAAUUUUUACGGUCGUUGUUCAGUCUACAAAUAAAAAUAUUGUUGAAAAGAUCGACCUGAAACCGAGGCGGUUUUCGUUUCAAGGGAGAGAGGAUGAUAUGGCCACAACUAAUGCUAGUGUUCAUGAAUUAUUGCCGCAUGCCGAUGGAUUAAAGGAAGAGAAUUCCCUAGACGUGCAUAUUUGCAUGCAAGGUGAAAGGGUAUUAAAUCAAGGCAAGGAGUUUGCUUCCAAAACUGAUCAGACUCAGUUUGGCAAGGAGUUCACUAAUUUCUGGAAAGAGUGUGGAGCCUACGUUGAUGCAAGGGACCUUUGGAUUUGUGAUUUAUUUGGUCCAAUCAAAAAUAUAAGAUGCAGAGAUUUCUUGCCACUUGCACGUAAAGAAAAGAUUGUCAAUCCCAUCAACAGACCAUGCAAGAUUAGAGACGUGCUUUGCUUGACAGGAUGUGGAUGGGGUCCACCGUACAAGCAGAUCACGUACGAGGAGAUGGUGCACCUAUUUUUAAAGGGAUCAAGUUUAAGUCCGUAUGUUAGUUUUAGAAGUAAUAGACAAAGCUAUCUAUUGAGAUGUAAAAGUCAAAUACUUUUACGUUUUAGGAGAGUCCAUAUUUUAUUUGAGUUAGAGAUAGGGUCGUGUCCUUAUUUUUGCAAGUCUAGACGUGGGCUGUUAAUAGCCAUGGUGCGGCAAUGUAAAGGGGGAGGCUAUAUUUUGAUAAUAAACACAAUGUGUUUUUAG
rnacentral:rRNA from 1 species